UGAUCCUGGCUCAGAAUGAACGCUGGCGGCAUGCCUAACACAUGCAAGUCGAACGAAGGCUUCGGCCUUAGUGGCGCACGGGUGCGUAACGCGUGGGAAUCUGCCCCUCGGUUCGGAAUAACAGUUAGAAAUGACUGCUAAUACCGGAUGAUGACGUAAGUCCAAAGAUUUAUCGCCGAGGGAUGAGCCCGCGUAGGAUUAGCUAGUUGGUGUGGUAAGAGCGCACCAAGGCGACGAUCCUUAGCUGGUCUGAGAGGAUGACCAGCCACACUGGGACUGAGACACGGCCCAGACUCCUACGGGAGGCAGCAGUGGGGAAUAUUGGACAAUGGGCGAAAGCCUGAUCCAGCAAUGCCGCGUGAGUGAUGAAGGCCUUAGGGUUGUAAAGCUCUUUUACCCGGGAUGAUAAUGACAGUACCGGGAGAAUAAGCUCCGGCUAACUCCGUGCCAGCAGCCGCGGUAAUACGGAGGGAGCUAGCGUUAUUCGGAAUUACUGGGCGUAAAGCGCACGUAGGCGGCUUUGUAAGUAAGAGGUGAAAGCCCAGAGCUCAACUCUGGAAUUGCCUUUUAGACUGCAUCGCUUGAAUCAUGGAGAGGUCAGUGGAAUUCCGAGUGUAGAGGUGAAAUUCGUAGAUAUUCGGAAGAACACCAGUGGCGAAGGCGGCUGACUGGACAUGUAUUGACGCUGAGGUGCGAAAGCGUGGAGAGCAAACAGGAUUAGAUACCCUGGUAGU
rnacentral:rRNA from 1 species